GACGAACGCUGGCGGCGUGCUUAACACAUGCAAGUGGUGCGACGAACCAGGGCUUGCCCUGGGGCAAAGCCGCGAACGGGUGAGUAACACGUGAGUAACCUGCCCCGAUGACCGGGACAACCCGAGGAAACUCGGGCUAAUACCGGAUGUGGCGCACAGGCAUCAGCCUGUUCGCUAAAGGAAGCUUCGGCCUCCGCAUUGGGAGGGGCUCGCGGCCCAUUAGCUUGUUGGUGGGGAACGGCCUACCAAGGCAACGAUGGGUAGCUGGUCUGAGAGGACGAUCAGCCACACUGGGACUGAGACACGGCCCAGACUCCUACGGGAGGCAGCAGUGGGGAAUCUUGCGCAAUGCGCGAAAGCGUGACGCAGCAACGCCGCGUGGGGGAAGAA
rnacentral:rRNA from 1 species